UCCGUGAGACCUUUGAACAGUUUUGGCGUCCGAGGUGAAGAGCGAAAGUGAGUAAGGGGUUUCUGGAGACGCGCUAAACUCAAGGUGACAAGGGAAGGACGACGUGGGGCUCUCAAUAGGGCAGGGCAUAACUUCAAGAUACUGCAGUUUUGGUUCCAGACCACCAGGAUAAAUUCACAGGUCUCUGCAAGAGUACGGAGGAACUACACGACAAACUACAUCCAAAGUAUUUCAUCAAUAUCUGGACAAUAUUUAUGUGAUGAGAUCAUGGACUUUAAGCUUGAUGCUCUGAUUGGAUGAAAUUUUGGGUCUGAAAGAGGUAAGCAGAGCCUCUUCCCCUGCUCCUGAUCUGGAAUGGACCUGUGACUUGCUUUGAUCAAUAAAAUAUGCAGAAGUGAUGGUGUGUAACUACUGAGGCAUGGCAGAAUUCCAGAAUGUGAUGCCAUGAAGCUUCCACUUUUAAUCUUUUGGAACACUCUUCUGAGACUUCUCAGGAUGAAAGAAAACAUGAAGGAAAAGGCUGAACCGUCAGCCAGCCCCAACCAACAUACUUGGGGUGAAGCCAUCUUGGGACUCCUAACACAAACCUAUGAGUGAGCCCAGACAAAGUCGGACAAUUCACAGAAAUUUGAGAAACAAUAAAUUGUCAUAAUUUUAAG